GCCGCCCUGGGUUGUUUGCCAGUUAACGAGUCCUCGAGCCGAUAUUUUUAUCCCGGGGGUUCCUUGCUGAUGUUGGUGUGCAGGUCCGCGCGACGGAAAGCCUUAUACAUCACUUGGGCCACCACCUUGAACCAUCGGGUUCAAGGCCAAGUUAACAGCGGCAAUUGCGGGGCUACU
rnacentral:other from 1 species